rnacentral:rRNA from 1 species
GAUAAACGCUGGCGGCGCACAUAAGACAUGCAAGUCGAACGAACUUAAUUCGAAUGUUUACAUUUGGAAGCGGUCAGUGGCGGACUGGUGAGUAACACGUAAGCAACCUGCCUAUCAGAGGGGAAUAACAGUGAGAAAUCAUUGCUAAUACCGCAUAUGCUGUGUGUAUCGCAUGAUACAAACAGGAAAGGAGCAAUCCGCUGAUAGAUGGGGUUGCGUCUGAUUGGAUAGUUGGUGGGGUAAUGGCCUACCAAGUCGACGAUCAGUAGCCGGACUGAGAGGUUGGACGGCCACAUUGGGACUGAGAUACGGCCCAGACUCCUACGGGAGGCAGCAGUCGGGAAUAUUGCACAAUGGAGGGAACUCUGAUGCAGUGACGCCGCGUGCAGGAAGAAGGUUUUCGGAUUGUAAACUGCUUUAGAUAGGGAAAAUAAAAGACUGUACCUAAAGAAUAAGCUCCGGCUAACUACGUGCCAGCCGCCGCCGUAAGAC